UAAGGAAUAUUGCUCAAUGGGAGAAAUCCUGAAGCAGCAACGCCGCGUGGAGGAUGAAGGGUCUAUGACUUGUAAACUCCUGUAAAGAAGGAAAAAAUUCCCAUUUGAUGGGAGAUGAUGGUACUUCUGGAGUAAGCCCCGGCUAACUACGUGCCAGCAGCCGCGGUAAUACGUAGGGGGCAAGCGUUGUCCGGAUUUACUGGGUGUAAAGGGUGCUCAGGCGGAUUUGUAAGUCAGAGGUGAAAUCUUACAGCUUAACUGUGAAACUGCCUUUGAUACUGCAAGCCUAGAGUAUGGAAGAGAGUGAUGGAAUAUCUGGUGUAGCAGUGAAAUGCGUAGAUAUCAGAUAGAACACCAAUGGCGAAGGCAGUCACUUGGUCCAUUACUGACGCUAAAGCACAAAAGCGUGGGUAGCAAACA
rnacentral:rRNA from 1 species